UAUUAAAAAAUAUGUAUGAUAGUUACUGUCGCGUGAGUUACGUAUAAUCAUACUACCCCUGAUAAAAUUGAUAAGUUCUUGGAAACAAUUAGCCAAUAAAACGUGUACAAUUAUUGCACUGUAA
rnacentral:sRNA from 1 species